UAAGGUAAUAUUGGACAAUGGGUGUAAGCCUGAUCCAGCCAUCCCGCGCGCGGGAUGACGGCCCUAUGGUGWUGUAAACUUUUUUAUAUAGGAAGAAACCCAGGGAUGUAUGCUGUACUGACGGUAAUAGGAAUAGACGCACCCGGUUACUCCGYGCCAGCAGCAGCGGUAAUACGGAGGGUGCAAGCGUUAUCCGGAAUCAAUGGGUUUAAAGGGUGCGUAGGCGGAUWAAUAAGUCAGAGGUGAAAGCCCACAGCUUAAMUGUGGAACUGCCUUUGAUACUGUGGGGCUUGARUGAGGUGGAGGUAGGCCGAAUGUGCCAUGUAGCGGUGAAAUGCAUAGAUAUGACAUAGAACACCAAUCGCGAAGGCAGCUUACUAUACCUAUAYUGACGCUGARGCAMGAAWGCGUGGGGAGCGAACAGRAUYMGAUACCCUGGUCGUCCACGCCCUAAAMGAUGCUUACUACANUGGAAUUUUCAGUUCCAAGCGAAAAGCGU
rnacentral:rRNA from 1 species